rnacentral:rRNA from 1 species
UACGAAGGGGGCUAGCGUUGUUCGGAAUCACUGGGCGUAAAGCGUACGUAGGCGGAUCGUUAAGUCAGAGGUGAAAUCCCGGAGCUCAACUUCGGAAUUGCCUUUGAUACUGGCGAUCUUGAGUUCGGGAGAGGUGAGUGGAACUGCUAGUGUAGAGGUGAAAUUCGUAGAUAUUAGCAAGAACACCAGUGGCGAAGGCGGCUCACUGGCCCGAUACUGACGCUGAGGUACGAAAGCGUGGGGAGCAAACAGG